rnacentral:tRNA from 3 species
UCCCCGGUAGCUCAGUGGUAGAGCAAUCGGCUGUUAACCGAUUGGUCGCUGGUUCGAAUCCGGCCCGGGGAGCCA